rnacentral:rRNA from 1 species
AGGAUUCCCCUAGUAACUGCGAGUGAAGCGGGAAGAGCUCAAAUUUGAAAUCUGGCAGUUCUUUGACUGUCCGAGUUGUAAUCUAGAGAAGUGCUGCCUGUGCUGGACCAUGUACAAGUCUCCUGGAAUGGAGCAUCACAGAGGGUGAGAAUCCCGUCUUUGACAUGGACUACCUGUACAUUAUGGUGCGCUCUCAAAGAGUCGAGUUGUUUGGGAAUGCAGCUCAAAAUGGGUGGUAAAUGCCAUCUAAAGCUAAAUAUUGGCGAGAGACCGAUAGCGAACAAGUACCGUGAGGGAAAGAUGAAAAGAACUUUGGAAAGAGAGUUAAACAGUACGUGAAAUUGCUGAAAGGGAAACGCUUGAAGUCAGUCGCGUUGGCUAGAAAUCAGCCUUGCUUUUGCUUGGUGUACUUUCUGGUUGACGGGUCAGCAUCAAUUUUGACCAUUGGAUAAAGUCUUUGGGAAUGUGGCAUCUUUGGAUGUGUUAUAGCCCAUUGUCACAUACGAUGGUUGGGAUUGAGGAACUCAGCACGCCGCAAGGCCGGGUUUCGACCACGUUCGUGCUUA